AGAAGACAAGAUGGCGCUGGUUACCUCGUGUCAUAUCAAAGGGCAUUUUUGUUCACAAAUACCCGCUUAUUUUACGUUAUAGCGACUGGUUCGUUUUGGAAAUUAUAACUCAAUGGAUGGGGAAAAUGAUUCUGUAUUAAAGAGAAAAUGAUGUGCAGUUAUUGUGAUGUUAUUUGUUGUGAAAGACGGCCCGAAAUUUCGCCACUUCGCAGUACUGGUUUAUAAAACAUUUACAAGCAACAGCAAUUGAACUAUAUGACAAAGAAACCAAUGUAUACAAGCCAAUCAAGUUCUUCCGUUUAAAGGUCUGUUUACUUUUUAAUAAUUAGUUCAUUUAGUUGUACAUUAAUACGAAGUACUGGAACAGUACGCCUAAUCACAGAAUAGGAAGGUAUACCGUAUUUACUCGUUUAAGCGCCGCGGCGCUCUUUAAAUUUUCAGAUGCGGCGCUCAUUCGGGGGCGGCGCUCUUUAAAAAAUAUUUUAUUUGUGAAUUAUGACAAGAACUUUUAACUAUAAAAUAGACAAGUUUUAAAAGGUUUUUGUUACUAAGUGUCCCCAUUUUGACACUGUUUAGUGCGGCGCUCAUUCGAGGGCGGCGCUCUUUUUAAAAAAAUGAUCUCAAAUGCGGCGCUCAUUCGGGGGCGGCGCUCAAUCGGGGGCGGGUACCAUUGAACUAAAAAUAACUGGAACAAUACCUCCAGCCGGAAAUGUGAAGCCAUGCCCAGGAAUGCCCACUGUUGUCAUGCCCAGUCUUUUCACGUAACGGAAAUGAACGCGGGUUUUUUAAAUUUCCAAAACUGGGUAAAAAAAUGCACUAAAACAUGAUUUAAAACGAUGUAAAAUGCACCUACCAGUACAUUUUUUACAAUAAAAACAUCCUUCAAAACUCUAGAGUAAAAUAUUUUUAAUUUAUUUGUGUAUAAUUCAUAAUUAAAUUUCCUUUUUUGAAAAAAGACGUUGAGCGAGGAGUGGAGCUUGCCGUGGUCUAAUCAUAAGUAUUUGUGUGAAUUUCCCUAUUUUGCUCAUUCGUUUUCCAAUUUAUUCGUCUGAAAGUUAGGAAAAAAGGUAUUCUAACAAGAUCAAACUACCAACCACAGUUUAAUUAUGUUUUGUAGUAGAGUAUUUAUUAAGUUUUAAAGGUACAAAAUAACAAAUAUAAACAUUAAAGACAUUAAGAAAGUUUUUUUCGCGGACAAGUAUUUCAUGUCGCGAUUAUUCACAUUCGGCAAGAAAUACACAGAACAAGUCGUCAACGAAGGCAAACAAAGUGAUAGAUACAGAUUAAAUAAACUUAUCUUGUUUAACAAUCUAUGAAGUUGUUAUAAAUAUAUGUUUAAUACGUUACAGUGAAAAUACAAAAAGUGUCCCACUUCUGCUUCUGUAGUUUGUUGUGAUUUACUGUAAUUUGUUCUGUUUUUCUGUAGCGAUUACCGAUUUAUCGGCAAAUACCGCGAUAAAACUUAGUUUUUUCUAUUUUUAAAUAUGAUAAUUUGUAGCAAAGGGAAAUAAUACAUUUUCCGUUAGUUUCAUUGCAUAAAAGGAACGAAAUUUAAAUUUUAUCGCAGUAUUUGCCGAUAAAUCGGUAAUCACUACAGAAAAACAGAACAAAUUACAGUAAAUCACAACAAACUACAGAAGCGGAAGUGGGACACUUUUUGUAUUUUCACUGUAAGAUAAAGAAUUACUUAUCUUUCUCAAGUUUCAUCUGCAUAUAAACGUUCCAGUCAUUCAAAUAUGCACUUGUUAUCUCCAAUCAGUUACUUUCAUAUAUAUGUAGAGUUCACUCAACCUCGUUCCCAGGGCCUUUAGGAAAGACCCUGGCAUCGGCUGGUCACGUGCCUCGUCCAAAAUUGAUUGCCCGAGGGGGGUGUGGUGAAAGUAUCAAAUUACAAACAGUUAAAAACAUAAAUUUUGCGAACUAUUACCAGUAAGUUCAAAAUACUUGCUAAUUUUUGUUUAUUUUAUUUGCUUUGAAUUUACAAGAACAUUCUUACAUUUUUGCCAACAGUCAAGUCAAGAAACCAAGCAAAUCGUUACUCGCAGUGCUCUCUCGUGUUAUUAUUAUUCAAUGCUCUCUUCACACUCGAGCGCAGUUUUAUAACAAACGUUUAUGGGCUUUUCAGUGGUCACCAUUUCUACAUAUAUUAUCUUUUUUAUACAAGCAUUAGAUUUGUCCUUUUUUGUAAACGUUGCUAUGCUUUGCACGUCUUGUUUAUAAGAUUUUUAAAAGAAACAGUAUUGUAUUGCAUUGUCUAGGACUAGAGAGUAGAGCCCAAUAUCAGCAAAUGUAAACAUUUGAUACUAGCCAAACAGAGAAAUGUCUGUCAGUGAUUUAUCUUUAAAAUUUUGGAUUUAGUACAUAAUUCGUAUUCAUUAAUUAUAGUAAGGCUUUAGCCUUUUUCUUGGUCAGAUAGUGUUUCCUAAUAUACACACAACUAGGCUAUAAUCUAGUCACAAAUUUACAGUGUCAAGCGCGCACAGACUGCCAUACGAAUACACAUAAAUUUUUUAGUUUUCUACUUCUACUAAGGCUACUAACAGUUUUCAUUGUGUCUCAAUCGUCUGUUUAUUUCUAGUUCAAUAAGUUCAUUUAUAUUUCUAUAUUUAUUUGAUAGUGGCAUAUAUAUAGUGAUACAUGUAGCCAUGUAGGCUAUUUACACACAAGCAAUCCUGGAUAUCAUGAUAGAGACGAUACAAGAUGUCCAUUAAAAAAUAACGGUAUUCUAUUUCACAAAGCAAAAAAUUUAAAUCUCACUUGUAUAUAUAAAGCAGAAAAUUAAAGCUUGUGUCAAAACGAAAACUGGUUAUAAAAUUUAUAAAUGUGGUAUAAACACAGUAGUAAACAGUAAGACAAAUACUGUAUACUGUCGUUUGACUUAUCUUUGAUGUAUUACUGUAAUACCGUAGAUUUUCAACAGACAGCUAGACUUUGACAUAUAUCAUGAUCGUUGAGAUCUUGCAGGAAAAUUUAUAGUCUUUUGACGGGAUUUAAGUUUUGUGAUAAGGCCUUUAUUAUAAUCAACAAUCUCGCGAUCGAUACAGUUGGCGUCUUGGUGAUAUUUCGGAUAUCAAAAGAUCUCGCUAUUUCGCCGUUCCAAUUCCACAUCUCAUCAAUAAAUAUAUUCUUUUGGUCCAGGUAUCAGGAUAUACUUUAAUACUAACAGUUAAAUAAAUAUAAACCACAUUGGUCGGUCUAGAGAUAUGAAUUUUCUUGUAGCCUUAUUGCCACGCCGCCCAGGCGUGCUUUCUUUGUAAGUUGAAAUCUGAUCCAAUUUGCUUGAAUUGUAACUCGACACUAGAUUAUAGAGCAGAAAGUUCACAUCACGAUAAAUAUUAAUUUUUAAUUGCAUUUCUCUUCACGAUUUCUUGUUGCAAAUUUAAAUUUCAUCACACAAAAUUGCAAAUAUUGUUACAAACGCGACAAACACGCUCCUCUCCCACCCUGCCCAUAGUAACAUUUUAAUUUAUCACCCAGAAUCUAGGUGACACGUGACCAGCCGAAACCAGGGUCUUUCCUUCGCCUCACGCCGUUCUAAGAAAGACCCUGGGAACGAGGUCGGAGUUCACUGACCAAAACCUGAUAAAACUUUCCACCCUGGAAGCAGGGCUGGCCUGCUAAACGAGAUAGCCCGGUUAGCGGGAUGAAUUUUGCUUGCGUUUAUGAGAUUUUAUCCUGCUUGCUGUGCUAGAAAUUGUUUACAUUGCACUCAAUAGGCAAUUCCAGCUUUUAGUUUAUGCCUGCAGGGGAUGAUGGGAAGUAAGGUAUCAUAGUGCUGAUUAUGCUGGAAAAUUUCAAUAAAAACAACCGAAAUAUUUCAAUAUUUACAAGUAUAAGCUAUCACUACGUGUUUACACGGCCACCAUUUUUAUUUUUUCAGCAUAAUCAGCAAUGUGAUACCUUAUUUCCCAUCGUCCCCUGCACGCAUAAACUAAAAGCUGGAAUUGCCCAUUGGCUUUCCCAAUUUCAAAAUUAAUUUUUGCUUCAAAACUCACUAUUUUGUAAACGUUACAGCUAUUGAAGCACAGCUUAGAGACAGGAAGUUUUACCUCGCAGUUUGAUCGUUGAAACGCACAAGUUACCAAGGGCAAAUUCAUGGGAAAUUUAGGCACUUUUGGUCAAUGGGUUGUUCCAGAAAAGAUCCAUACCCCCAUGCUGUCCGAAGGGGGAGUGAGGAAAAAUGUCUUAGGAUGUCCGAAGGGGGGGGGGGGAGGAAAUGCGGAUGUAAGAUUGUCCGAAGGUUUUAGACAGUGAUAAAGCUAUGUGAUCGGCGAUUAUAAUGAGCACGCAAUUUUUAUCGGCUAUAGCCCUUAAAAACUGGAACGUUUAUGUAACGGCAAUAAUUAAGCAACAAUUCGAUAUUAAUAAUUAUUUAUAAGCACUAUCAUACAAGAAAUGUCAAGAAUGAAUUUUUCUUCAAUGGUGGUUUUUUAUCCGUCAAAAGUUUAAUAUAGUUUUGACGAGAGAAAUGUUUCUCAACAAUUUUCAGAAAGUUUUACAAGAUUUUGGGGCUUGUUUUGAAUUGGGCUAUUCCAUUUAAAAGACGUAACCCCCCUAUCAAGGACAAUGGUUUUACCAUAUCUCUGAAGAAUUCCUGACAUAAAAGAGAUCCCCUGAAGAAUUCCUGUUACCCCUGAAGAAUUACAAUUUUUACAUCUGACCCCUAAAGGAAUAGCAUUUGAAAUAACCAACCCCUGAAGAAUUCCACUGGAGAAUUUGUUUACCCAUGAGGAAUUCCGGAGUUAAAAAGGGAGAUUAUGGAUAUUAAAUGGAAUAGCCAAUUGUCUGGAAAAUUUAGCCCAAUUUUCUGGAAAAUUUCCUGGUUGUUUUCCCUGCAGCUUGUUUAUAAACAUGCUUGUUUAUCUAUAGCAUCAUUUGUAGAAAAGGUGUUGAAAGCAUUUUUUGAAAGCAAUGACGUAUUAUCAAAUGACAAAUGAUCAUGCGAGCGACACUUGCUAGGAAGAUGGUGACUGUAGGACAACUAUAUAAUAGUUUUGUUUGUGGAAACACCACAUAAAUUUAUUACUGCAAAGCUUUCGAUCCGUAAGCCCGGAUCUUCAUCAGUGCUAAUAUGUGACUUGUUUAAUUCACACGCCCUUUUUAUAUACAAAAAAUGUCUUGAUCUGUUGGCUCACAUAUUAGCACUGAUGAAGAUCCGGGCUUACAGAUCGAAAGCUUGGCAGUAAUAAAUUUACGUGGUGUUUCCACAAACAAAACUAUUAUAUGUUUUAUCGCCAUGCAAACAUACAAAGAACUUAUUGUGGGACAACUUUUUUACUGAAGUUAUACAUCUGUCUUCACUUAAUCUGUGGCUCAGCUGGCCAGACCUUGAUUCUUGCCUGUGGUCCCCCUUUGCAUUUGACCCAAAUGUUUUGGUCAUUUUAUAUUUGCCAAUCUUUUUGGCAUAGAAAUUAUACAUUUGGAAUAAUAAUUUUGUAUGCUGCAUUCAAUCUAUUCUCCAUUCAGGGAGAUUCUUUUGUAAAUACCCACACCAAUCAGAAGUCUGUAUUUUUAUGCUAAGACAGAAAUUGGCAUCCCAGAGAGUAAAUUAUAUUCAAGUUUAGGGCAUGUUGCAGCUCUAUAUCUUGCCGUUGCAAGUUGCUUUGCGUUUGAUGUUUGUUCUGGGAUAAAAUAUUGAAUUAUACCUUAAAUUACUGUUUUGUGAAAUUUAGUUUAAAUAAUUUAGUAGAGAGAUGAGUGCAUAAAGCAUAGGGAUUUUGAAGCUAAAUAUGUUAUAAAAUUUGUCAUUUUAGUGAAUGCAUUCGUUUCUGCUCGUCCUGGUUGUUGCAAGGAGACAUCGGGCAUUGUAAUGGAUGGAUGACAAUGUGUCGCUGGCAAACCUAUACCGUGUGCAUUUUCUUGGUGGAUAUCUUGGGCAAAUGUGCAAUAUGACAGAGGGAUAUCUUGGGCAAAUAUCUUAUAUAAAUUGGUACGAUUGCUUACCUUAAAUUACUAAAGAAGGAUGAUGUUGUAAGGUUAGUGGAUAUUUAUAAUAGUGAUAAAAUGGGGGUUCCCUAUGAAUAGGAACAAAGUAAGGCUGCCUAAUUAAGUGGAAACAAUAUUGCGCAGUGUACCAAUCUAAAAAUAUGGCGGACUGAAAUCUGUAAAAAUGAUGCAUGUUUAAUUUAAAACAUGCAAAAAUUGCGGCAUAAAUAUAUCACGAAACAUGCUUCUUACAACUACAUGCUAUGUUUAUAGGAAUUUGAAUAAGUUUUUAGUAGGCAUGAUUUAGGAUUUUUGUUUUAUUUUCAUUUAUGAUUUUCUAUAAAUGCCCCAACUAGUUUAUAUGAUUAUAUCUAAUACGUAAUGUAUAAUAUAUAGAUUGUAAAUUUUUUGAUCUAGAAAAUAAUAGAGUUCUUAUACAACUACAUGCUGUGUUGGGUUGUUAGGGUUGAAUAAGUUUUUAGUAGGCAUGAUUUAGGAUUGUUUUUAUUUAUGAUUUUCUAUACCCCUCUCCCCCUCGUGGUGGAAGGAUAACAGCCUGUGGCCAUUUGUCACUAAUGCUGCACAGUGAUGUAGUCGUAUGAAUAGAUAUUUAACAGUCUGUGGCCAUUUGUCACUAAUGCUGCACAGUGACGUAGUCGUAUAAAUAGAUAUUUAACAGUCUGUGGCCAUUUGUCACUAAUGCUGCACAGUGAUGUAGUCGUAUAAAUAGAUAUAAUAUUGUGCACUUCAGUGGCUUUCUAAUUUUAUUAUCCAAUCAGGUGUGUUACUUUAAAUAGAACUUAUUGUAUGUAAACAAGGUCAAUAGACAACGUUCGGGACAACAUUGCUUUCUUUAACAUAUAGCAUAAUUUGUCUUCGUCAUUCUGUGCACAAUGAAGUAUUGGGUCAUUCCAGAAAACAUCCAUACCCCCCCCCCCCACGGAGGAAAUAGGAAGUUAACCCCCUACCCCCAUCGGAUGCCCUAAUACAUUUACUAUUAUCAGAAACAAUUUUUUGUCCCCUCCCCCUCCGGACGGCAGAAAUUUCCUCUGUGGGGGGAGUAUGGAUCUAUUCUGGUACGACCCAUUCAAGGCAAAGAAAAUAUGCAAGCAUUAAAUAUUUCCUGCAUUAUUUCUCAGUCCUUGCUCAAUGACAAAAACAUACUUAAAUUAAAUUUGUAAUAUAGGAAAAAUAGAUUUUCUGUAAUAUAUAUUUAUCUGAAACAACCUCAUGCUAUGUUGAUAGGAAUUUGAAGUUUUUAGUAGGCAUGAUUUAGGAUUUUUGUUUCUAUUCAUGAUUUUCUAUAAAUGGGUGCCCACCUAAUUUUUGAGAUAUGAUAUGAAUUUAUGAUAUCUUUAUCACAUAAAAGAGUGGCAGUGUCAUCACAACAGUAUAAAAAACCAAUUACUGUGGGCUCAAUUUUACAAAUACUGUAUAAAUAUACAAUAACAUAACUUAAUUUAUGAGAAUAAAUACAACUAUCAGGAACAACAAGAGAGUGGAGUAGCAAGACUACAAGCAGUGUUACAUUUCAAAUAGAUUCUUAGUUUAUAUUGAUAGCAGUAAUGUACCAUUUGUAUAACAUACAGUUGUAAAAUUUGUAAAGUCUCUCUGGAGCAGGGGGUGAGCGGAGGUGAGACACUGGGAACGAGGAUGGGCUCAUAUUCGUUCUUAAGAGUUUUUUGUAGGGCAUAUAGACGGGGGGACUCAUAUAUGGGGGGGGGUAUUCAAAUGUUACAUAUCAAAAUCUAAGUUAGUCCUUUAUGAAUGCAAUAAAACAUUCAAGUAUACUAGCUUUUGUAGUUUUUGUUACAUUUAAUCAAACAGCACAAGUUGGUUUUUUUUGGGGGGGGGCACAGUCUUUCUUUAGGUUGUAAAGCGAUGAUUGGGCUAAGAAAAUUUCAAUACGUCAUUGCUGUUGAAAUGACUUAAUUCAUCACUAAUAAUACAAAGCUUAUGUUGCUCAUAAUAUACCAUCCAGCAUCUAUUUUUGAGAAAAUUGUUGCACAAACCAUGUUCCAAUGUUUGCGAUGUGACCAUUGCAUAUGGCUGUCAAAAACGUCCAGAUUAGUUAGAUUAUUGUUUUCUAAAACAUUGCGCGGCUCGUGAUUUUAGAACUCUUUUUAUGCUUUAACCCAUUGAGUGGCUCCACUUGACAAGUAAAAUCCUGUGGCGUUAGACAGUAAAAUACUAAAGUAUGGUGCAUCUGGGUGCAAUGCAACUUAAAGGGUUAAAUUAACCAAAAAAGUUCAUACAUUUGUUUGAAAAAAGAUUUUAACACAGUACCAUGCCUGUUUGUAUUUUGAAGUUCCUUGAGUUACACAUGAUACUGCAUGUAUAUAUAUAUAUAUAUAUAUAUAUAUAUAUAUAUAUAUAUAUAUAUAUAUAUAUAUAUAUAUAUAUAUAUAUAUAUAUAUAUAUAUAUAUAUAUAUAUAUAUAUAUAUAUAUAUAUAUAAUAUAUACGAAGAACAUAACCCCGGGGGGGGGAUAAAACCCUAGUAGGGAACUACCUCCAGACCAAUUUACACUCACCUGCGACAAAAUAGGGAGGUUGUGUGCUUGAUUUGCACAGUGCAACUCAAGUUGUAAGCAUCUUGCAUGAGACCAUCUGAUGCACAAGACUUUCCUCUUGAUGAGUAAAAUGAUCUGAUAUCAGACAUUUGAGUUCCUUUGCAGCUUAAGGAGUUAAUCCUAUUUAUCUUAGAGAACAGCAAUUCAACUAUCUGGCUGGCUUGACAAAUAACUAUACACCAACAAUGUGUGCAAAGGCAAUUAAGUGUAUCCUUGGAAAAUUUUAUCUGAGAUUAUGCAGAGUUGUUUACAACUUUUUUGUUCAAGCCUAGUGACUUAUUUCAGUGCAUGAAAAUCAUCCCACCUUUCAUCCUGUCCUGACAAACUGGGAUCAUGUAAACAGCACAUUUAGCCAUUAAGUUGAUUUGCACUCUAAUUUUCCUACUUAUAUUAACUCUGUGUAACGUCAUACAAUUUUAUUAAGCAGGGGGUGCACUGGCAGUUAAUUAAUGGGUAACUAGACACAUGGGCAGUCUCAUUAUGAAGCAUAAAAUCGUCUAGCGUUGGACAGUAAAAUACUCAAGUAGAGCAUGCAUCAGGGCACAGUACAACCUAAUGGUUAAAUUUGUUUUUUGUAGCAAAAUGGUUUAAGUUUUAUAUCUGAAUUUUUUAAAUUUUUUUUUUGCUUUGUUUUACAGAUCAUUACUUGAACGUGCUGAUGAAAUAUUGAUUUAUAAAAUAUCAUGUUACCAAGAUGACAUGCCUCGAAGAGCAAUAUGAGGGAAUACCUCUAUUUCUAAUCAAAUUACAACAAUACACCAAAGACAGUAGUUCUCGGAUGAAAUGAAAGGAUUGAUAAAUGUUCAUGGCCAGCAGUGGAUAUUUGUGACUAUAAUAAAUGGAUACAAAGAAACUAUGAUGGAUAAAUAUGGCCCCGUAAUGGAUAUUCAGUUGAUGGACAUACAAAGGUCACAGAAAUGUCUAUUUUCAGGUACUGUUCUUUCUUGUUUGCCUGCGAACAGGCUGUAGAUACUUGUAUCCAGGCCAUUGUUUGUUUUUUUUUUGUUCUGGGUACAAUGAAAUCCGGCAUAAAUCCUGGCGGUCUAAAUGUUCAGUAUAUUUACAAAUUCGAUCUAUUUUCUGUUCAGUAGACUUUGAUAGCUUGAAAGAAAGUUUAUAACGAUGAUUUUCUCUGCAAAAACUGUACUUUCGAAAUUCGUCAGCUUCUGAAUUUGAUAACCGAUCUGAAAAAAAAAGGAACAUUUGAGUGUAUGGUUAUUGCAUGGUUCUAUAUAUAUUCUAUAUAUACUGCCUUUGUGCACACGCAUAACAAGUGCAGCAACGCAACAGUUUAGACAGGGUCAUGAGGCAGGAUGUGUACAAGAAAAGCUUUGCCAGAGUUUUGUCUUUCGAAAUAGAACGACGAUUGGAAAUUGCUGUUUGAUUCUUUGUAAUAUCUUGUCGCUUUGUUAGUGAAAAAGAAAUUUGUCACUUUCCUCAUCUAAGGCCCUGUUGACAUGAGACCGGAACGAAGUCAAACCGGGACCAUUUCGUUUCGGUCACAGUAUUAUUUAUAAUAGAUGUUUACAUGAGACCGGGACGAAAAUAACUCAGACCGGUCUCAAGUCAUUCCGCCUGCUGAACCGAACCGACUGACUUCAGACCGGCAUGAAUUCAGACGGGGAUGAAUGUAAACAGAAAUACAUUUCAGACCGGUCUCGGCUGUAACCUUGACAUUGGAACAACACAUGCUAACAAAAGCCAUCUGAAAAAGAAAAUUGCCCUGGCAAGGGGAAUAAGUUGAAAAUUUUGUGAUUUUCGUACCGGUCUCAUGUAAAGAUAUUGACAAUUUCAAUUUUCGUCCCGGUCUCAUGUAAACGGGGCCUAAACCUUUUUUUCAAAAAACUGGCAUCGUUUGUCUUGGGGUUAGGGGGUACAAAUGGUACCCAUAGCUUAGAGGGUGCAAAUGGUACCCGUAAGAAGACUUGGUGGAAAUCAUGUUGGUCGUUUGGAUCGGCGAGAAUAAGACAAUUAUGGUGGCAAAGUUUUUUUAAACAUUUUCUCUCCCGUAGUAAGGUAAAGCAUGUAUUUUCCUGGUAGCCGGUCUUACUUCAUGAAAAAAUAGUCCGCUACCAGUGACUAGGUCCCCUCUCUUAUGGCGGUUAUUCCGGCUCAAUAUCUUCGGGGAUAUUCCUUUUCAGGGCGGUUGCAUGCGGAUAAUAUGGUCCGUCGCGUGCGCAAAAUAGUUAGGGAGUUAGACAGUUUAGAAGCGUCCAAACUGCGCAAUAUACGACACUCGCAUGAAACGUAAAAUACUUUAUAAUAAUUCACAAAAUUGCGAAAA
rnacentral:lncRNA from 1 species